UGUGGACAAGGCAUUGCAUGGUUAACCUGCGUUUAGGAAGUAUAAACAACCGGGACAACCCGAACUCAAACCCAGGUGUAUCUGUGCUUUGAACCCCAAGGAAAUCCAUCAUAAGACAGGUUGAUAUGUCUGGUGUCAGAGACGUGGGAAGUGGUAGUGCUGGGUUCAAAUCCAUGUUUUUAACCACUGUGCCAUACCUUGUACCACUCGGAGGAUAUUGGCAAAGAUGGGGAUCGCUAGUCACCUAGGAGCAGCUAAGAGAUUGCACUAGUCCAACCUCUUCAUUUCACAGACCCAUGAGAUCCCAGUGUUCUCAACCCUGGCUGCCCUGUGGAGUCAUCUGGAGAAGAUUUAAAACAAAACACAACGAAAGCUCAACCAGAUCAAGAGAUUUUUACCGAAUUUACAGGUCCACAGCGGCUCUCAUUUCUAUCUCCUCGACCUUGGAUCCAAACCUUCGGCGUCUCAG